rnacentral:rRNA from 1 species
CAGUAGCCGCGGUAAUACGGAGGGUGCAAGCGUUAAUCGGAAUUACUGGGCGUAAAGCGCACGCAGGCGGUUGGAUAAGUUAGAUGUGAAAGCCCCGGGCUCAACCUGGGAAUUGCAUUUAAAACUGUCCAGCUAGAGUCUUGUAGAGGGGGGUAGAAUUCCAGGUGUAGCGGUGGAAUGCGUAGAGAUCGGGAGGAAUAUCGGUGGCGAAGGCGGCCACCUGGACAAAGACUGACGCUCAGGUGCGAAAGCGUGGGGAGCAAACAGGAUUAGAUACCCGUGUAGUCCCUGUCUCUUAUAC